rnacentral:tRNA from 1 species
ACAUCGGUAGCGCAAUGGUCAGUGCAGUCUGCCGGAAACGGAACAACGCGGGUUCAAUUCCCGUCCGAUGUC